UAAUAAACAUAAAUAUAUUAAUCCAGGUGGCGGUGAGUGUGAAGGAAAAGUAAAGCUGAGUAGGUAGACUGAAAAAGAAGGGGGGCGUGGUGCUACGUUCAAUAAACAGAGAGGAAAGUUCUUGGAUAAUUUGACCUAUGAGCAAAGCUCCAAAUGAUGGGAGAUGGACAGCCACCCGGGAGAAGCAAGUACAAAUUCCCUGAGCCCAAGUCCUGGGUCAGAGAUGAAGAAUCUACUAGAGACACAGGCCAAUAAAUCACAGGAGCCUGGACAAGCGGGUACUGCCCUCCCUUCUGCAGAGGAAGAAUUCAGGCUUCCAGCAGCCAAGGGCUUGCUUGCGUGCGGCUGUGUCAGGACUGCAAUUCAAGCCCCUAGUUUCUUGUUCAGGGCUUUCUUCACUCCACGAAGACCAUCAUUCUAACAUCCUACAAAUGUCCGGUGCAAAUGUCUGUGUGAAAUAUAUGCUCUUUUCUGUCUGUUUACUUCAGACUCUGGGGAGAGAUCGGAGAGACAUUAGUAACUUCUUUUUUCUUUCCUCAAGUCCCUGUGACGAAAUGACUGUUUCUGCAGUGCUUGUUUUCUGGGCCCUGGAAAGAUUCCAAAGCUGUCACUGUGUUUUCCAUCUGGCACUUUUUCAAGAAUCUCUCUGCUGCUUCCUGCAGCCUGGAGGUCGUCCUGCAGAGGCCCCUCUACCACCCCUGACAGGCUGGUGGGGCAGGACAUAGGCAUCACGGAGCUGUGCAAUAGGCAGGAACAGCUUGACGAGGGGGCGGGCGCCCCAUUGCGUGCAAACUCACUCCAAGACGGGGAAGCGGCCCCCAGAGACAUGGUUUUCAAAAGUAGAAAACUACCUGCUAAUUUGUUACGGAAACUUUAAGUAUUGAAUGAAUCUAGUGAUUUUUUAAAAUAUAAUUCAACCUAUGGGAAAAAAUCCAGCUUGACUUUCUUGAAACACUCACGGGUCACACUAUUUGGAAAGCAACACUGAAAAGAAACUUUGGAACUUCCAAGGGAAUGUGGAUGGUGAGUGAGCCUCUGCAUUACAGAGUUUGAGCCGUCCCACCUCCCCAAGAACGCUCAGGACCUCAAAGACCCAGCCAGAAAAGACCAAAGAGAUGAUGGAAGUCACAGCUUUGCAGAAACUUCAGAAAAUUUGUGUUUACAAAAGGGUUUGCAAUAAAAGCUGCUGCUCACGUUUUCCUUCUGAAAUAGGUCAAGGAAGUGAAACUCUGGAAGGUAACUCACAGGUGCAGGAUUCCUCUGGACCUGUAAGAAGCUGACGGGCAUUGUGGCCACCGUACGAUGGCGUAGGGGACCUGGCAUUUCCCAGACUCUUUCCCUUCCGACCAGCUGGAAGCUGGAGCUGGGAGCAGCAGUGACCUAGCUUCAACCAUGCAGGUGAUGACGGAGUUACAGGAAGGGAGGAGCUGUGCUCCCUGAAAGACCUGUGGAACAGCGCUGGCCCUCCUGUCUGGGAUGCUUGCACUGGGGCUAAGUGACAAAGACAUAAAGGUUUGAAGUACGUAAUAAUAAAACUGAAAGUGAUCAAGAGAAUUUGUUGGCUACAGAUAUAUUCUGACUUCAGGAUAAUUUCAGUUCCACUGUUUGAACUCUCUAGAAGCAAUAAGAGUUGACUCCAUGGUGUAAGAGACUGAGUGAUAAGGAAAAGAUUUUCCACAUAGCCUUGUGAUGGAGUAACCAAAAUGACCUCUAAGGUUUGCCAGAAAAAAGCUAGACCUGCGAAGAAAGGAACGCAUUUUGGGCGGCUCCCCCGUGCUCCUCGGGGCCACAAGUACUCGAGGAAGUGACUGUUCCCUGGGUGGUGGCCAGACGCUCGGCUCCCAGGAGUCCGGCCGCCCUGAGGGCGGGGCCGGGAGGUGGAUGGACCGGAAGACCGCGCGUCUAGGGAGACUGAGUCACGUCCGGGUCAGAGCACGCGGCUUGACAGCCGGGGGAACGAAAUGCUGGUCUGGGGCGGAAUUUGAACUUUAGGUGGUUAAUUUCUACAGGCAAGAUCUCUGCUCCAUCUCGCGUCCUAAGAAAGGAGGGGUGUGUUUCUAAGCACAUACAGGCGCUCACACACUUUGCUGAUGUAUAUUCUCUACGUGCCUAAGCAUUGUAAUUUAGAUUUUGAUCUAGAAAAUUAAAAAUAAACGUCUAAGAGUUCCAU
rnacentral:lncRNA from 1 species